rnacentral:rRNA from 1 species
UACGUAGGGUGCGAGCGUUAAUCGGAAUUAUUGGGCGUAAAGGGCUCGUAGGCGGUCUGUCGCGUCGGGAGUGAAAACUCAGGGCUCAACCCUGAGCGUGCUUCCGAUACGGGCAGACUAGAGGUAUGCAGGGGAGAACGGAAUUCCUGGUGUAGCGGUGGAAUGCGCAGAUAUCAGGAGGAACACCGGUGGCGAAGGCGGUUCUCUGGGCAUGACCUGACGCUGAGGAGCGAAAGCAUGGGGAGCGAACAGG